UCGGGGUGUGGCUCAGUUUGGUAAAGCGCUGCGUUCGGGACGCAGAGACCGCAGGUUCAAAUCCUGUCACCCCGAU
rnacentral:tRNA from 1 species